rnacentral:rRNA from 1 species
GAUGAACGCUGGCGGCGUGCCUAAUACAUGCAAGUCGAGCGGACGGACGUGUAGCUUGCUUCUCUGACGUUAGCGGCGGACGGGUGAGUAACACGACGAUCCCCUACCUAUAAGACUGGGAUAACUUCGGGAAACCGGAGCUAAUUCCGGAUAAUAUUUUGAACAGUAUGGUUCAAAAGUGAAAGACGGUCUUGCUGUCACUUAUAGAUGUAUCCGCGCUGCAUUAGCUACUUGGUAAGGUAACGGAUUACCAAGGCAACGAUGCAUAGCCGACCGGAGAGGGUGAUCGGCCACACUAGAACUGAGACACGGUCCAGACUCCUACGGGAGGCAGCAGAAGGGAAUCUUACGCAAUGGGCGAAAGCAUGACGGAGCAACGCCGCGUGAGUGAUAAAGGUCUUCGGAUAGUAAAACUCUGUUAUUAGGGAAGAACAUAUGUGUAAGUAACUGUGCACAACUUGACGGUACCUAAUCAGAAAGCCACGGCUAACUACGUG